rfam:Toxocara canis scaffold723, whole genome shotgun sequence.
GGGGCAGUGGCUCAGUGACAGAGCCCCCGCCUCGUACGCGGGAAGACCUGGGUUCGGUUCCCGGCUGCUUCC